UUGUCCGCCACGCUGCCCGGUGCCGCUUGGUUGCUAGGCGGAAGUGGAGCGGCGGCGGCAGCGGUUUGGUUUAAAGAGCGUCCGUGGCGGCAAAGGGCUGCGGGUGGCGGCACCGCGAGCGGAGCUGGGCGCGGCAGAUCCUGCUCUCCGGCGGCGGCGGCGGCUUUCUGCUCUGUCCCCGCAGAGGUUGAGACGCUGCAUAUGGGGAUCCCUCCCCCCCGCCAGGGCCCGAGACUCCACUCCCCGUAACCUCCUGUCAGCCCGGACCGGGACACCGCUCGCCCCUGCCUCAGAUUCCGUUCCCCCAGCAGGGUCAGGGACCCCCCCAGGCUGCCAGCCUUAGCCCGGAUCCCCGAUUUCCCAUACAGCCCCAAAGCAGAAAUGGUUUCCAGAUCCGACCAGCUUCUGAUCGUUGUCUCCAUCCUGGAAGGACGCCAUUUUCCCAGACGUGCAAAGCAUAUGCUUGUGGUAGAAGCGAAGUUUGAUGGUGAACAGCUAGCUACAGAUCCUGUGGAUCAUUCAGACCAGCCAGAGUUUGCCACCGAAUUGGCUUGGGAGCUUGAUAGGAAAGCACUUCACCAGCACAGGCUACAGCGUACACCUAUCAAACUCCAGUGUUUUGCUUUGGAUCCUAUAUCUUCAACUAAGGAGACUAUAGGCUAUAUUGUACUUGAUUUAAGAGCUGCUCAAGAAAAGAAACAGGCACCAAAAUGGUAUCCUGUGCUCAGCAACAAAUAUACUAAAUUUAAAUCUGAGAUACAGAUAAGUAUAAUGUUGGAAACUGAUACAAAAGCACCAGUGGAUGGCUUCAAAGCAAAAGAAGCACCUCCUAGAGAAGGGAAAGUGCCUGCUCUGCUUUCUGAGCUAGAUCCUAAAAAUAUUUUAGCAGUCCUGAAUGAGGAAGAAGGCUAUCAUCAAAUUGGACCAGCAGAAUAUUGCAGAGAAUACUUUGUUUUGUCUGUGACUAUAGCAUUUGCCACACAGCUGGAACAGUUAAUUCCUAGUACAACGAAACUUCCAGAACGACAGCCUGAGUUUUUCUUUUAUUAUUCAUUACUGGGAAAUGAUGUAACAAAUGAACCCUUCACUGAUUUAAUCAAUCCAAACUUUGAGCCAGAGAGAGCAUCAGUUCGAAUACGCAGUACUGUUGAAGUCCUUCAAGUUUAUUUUUCUGCACAGCCAAAAAUACAGAUCCAUCUUUGCUGUGGGGACCAGUCUCUUGGAAGCACUGAAAUACCACUAACUGGAUUGCUGAAGAAAGGAAAUGUGGAGAUUGAUCAGCACCCUGUGGCAGUUGAAGGGGCAUUCAACCUUGUCCCACCAAAUAGAGCCAAGCAAAAAUUGCCACCAUUGGCCUUAGAUAUGGCUCCUACUGUUGGGGUAUCAGUAACCCUACAAAAGGAAGGCAUAAAUAUCCAGUCAUUGAUCCACUUUGACCUUCAGACUGAACUAGAACACUCGCAGAAAAGAGUUUUGUCUCCCACACGGGAUAAAACAAAGAGCCCAGAGCAAAGAUCUCAGAGCGCCCCUUCUGCCCCACUUCAGAAUGGCCAUUCUCCUCCCACAAAAGAUGAAGCAACAGAGAGUGAAGUAGAAAGUCUUCAAAAUGACAGGGGCACAAAACUAAACAAAGAAGCCUUGAAUGCUCUAGCACCUGUUUCCCAGUCCCACCCUGGAGCUGCGUCCUGUGCUUCUGAGUCUGCUUCAGGGCAAAAAAUUGCAGUUCCAGCAGCAUCACAUCAUUUUUGCUUUUCAAUAGAUUUACGAAGUAUUCACAAUCUAGAGGUUGGGUUUCCAGUCAAUUGCAUUUUAAGGUACUCGUAUCCAUUUUUUGGUAGUGCGGCACCUAUUGUGACAAACCCUCCUGUAGAAGUGAGAAAAAACAUGGAAGUUUUUCUUCCCCAGUCCUAUUGUGCAUUUGAUUUUGCAACUAUGCCUCAUCAGCUUCAGGACACCUUCUUCAGGUUACCACUGCUGGUUGAAUUGUGGCACAAAGAUAAAAUGACUAAAGACAUACUUCUGGGAGUUGCCAGGCUGCAGCUUUCAAAUGUUUUGGGCUUGGAAAAAACCCGAUUCUUGGGUACUAAUGGUGAACAGUGUUGGCGUCAGACCUAUAGUGAAACAGUUGGUGUUAUGGCAGCACAAGGGACAAACAAUAGGAUAGCAGAACUUUCUUGCAAUGUGACUCUGGAAGAUUAUGGGCUUGUGAAAAUGCAUGAAGUUCUGGUAUCGAAUUCUUCUCAGUGUUUAGGUGCUGGGCAGCAGCAGGUCCCUCCACCUCAGCCUCAUCAUGUCCCAGAAAUGGAGCCAGAGCCACGAGAAACUCUUGAAUACAAAGCAGCACUUGAGUUAGAAAUGUGGAAGGAAAUGCAAGAGGACAUUUUUGAGAACCAGCUGAAAAAGAAGGAGUUGGCUCACAUGCAGGCACUUGCAGAGGAAUGGAAAAAAAGGGAUAAAGAAAGAGAAGCAUUAGUAAAGAAAAAGGUAGCGGAAUAUACAAAUUUGGAAGAACAACUUCAGAAAACCUUGACAGAUUUAGAGAAGCGUGAACGACAGCUUGUCAGUGCAGAAUCAGAGCUCCAAAGAGUAAAGAGGGAGUUGCAAGCACAGCAUGAACGAAACUUUCAAGAACUGCAGGAUUCUGUGCGGCGAGUCAAAGAAGAAUGUGCACAUCAAGUUGAACUGGAGAGGUCAAAGAUCAAACAGCUGGAAGAGGACAAGGUCCGCCUGCAACAGCAUUUUUAUGAAGCAGAAAACAAGUAUAAGAUUUUGGAAAAGGAGUUCCAGCAGUACAAGGAACAGCAAUGCAGCAAACCAGAAAUCCGGUUACAAUCAGAAAUAAAUCUUCUCACUUUAGAAAAGGUUGAACUUGAAAGAAAGUUGGAAUCAGCUACCAAAUCAAAGCUGCACUACAAGCAACAGUGGGCCAGGGCUUUGAAAGAACUUGCAAGACUAAAACAGGGGAAGAUUGGUCUUAGAUAUUUGUGAUAAAGUAAUAUUGAAAAAGGAGAAAAGGACAAUGCUAAAAAUAUAAGUACAUCUUCCAGUCACAUAUCUAGUCAGGUAAUUCACAUUAUUGUUUUGACCCUCUUAAGGUAUAAAGGUGCUUAUUUUUUAUGGUUUUUAUGAUAAGUAUCUAAUAUAAACCCACAGAAGUAAUGAAAUACAGAAUGACUUUGCAGUAAAUAUACCAGACUUGGUCUUCUACUGUGCAGAACGAUUGUAUUGCAAUAAGUUUAGUUAAGAUUUGCUUAUCUGCUUAGAUCAGAAAUGUGUUACCCAAUUUACUAAUCUUGACGUUGCUGGGAAGUACUGUCCACAGCUGUCAUUGGAGAAAAGAUUCUUGGAGACCAAUUCUCAGUGUAUAUGGACAGGAGGCACUUCAGCACACUCAAACUAAACUCUCUCCAGAGCCACAUUGUAGCAGCUCACUCUCUCAGUUCUCUGCCCAAUCAGAGAAAAUUGCUUUGUACAAUCACCACAUGUAUAUCAGCCCUGCUUCCACUUCCAGGGAAGCUUUGCUUCAGCCUGCUUGCAAGGCUGGAAGGCCUGAUGCAACCUGUUCUGCCAGUAUGAAAUGACCAAUGCAGGACAAAGAUAGUGUCAUGUAGGCUUUAUUUCUCCACAAGAUUUCCCUCACAUUGGCCUCCACAGACCCCAUUUGUGACUGCUGUUCUGCUUGUCCCUCAUUUGUGGCCCUUAUAAACUGGCAGUAAUGAUUUUCUGUAUCAAUAAACUUCUAGACAUGAGGGGGCUGUUAGUGCAUUCCAGCAUAAAAGAGGACCUCCAGACUUUCUUUUGACUAAAAAAGAAUCUAGAGGUUUCUAGCCAGUCCCUAGUUUGUCUCCACCCAGCCAAAGAUGUCUCUGGUCCAUCAACAUCAAAAAUGUGUACUUUCACUUUCUAGCUCACUUGAAUUUUCUUUGUUUGCUGUCAAAAUGAUACUGCCAGCAUGUUGUCUUGCCUUUUAUCCUGUCUUUGUCCCCAAGACACUGAAACUCCUGGUCAUUGUACUCACCAGCCUUAAAUGGUAAGGUAUCAGUGUAUUGCAUUAUUUAGAUAAUCUCUGUAUAAUGUUUCUUCUUUUCAGGGUGCUUUCUAGGGUCCCAACAUGAUUCUUUCAGUUCUCCAAAACCAUAACUUUAUGCCGAACCUCAGCAAAAGCUCAUACUUGCCUUUUUGAGGAGCCUGGACCACAUAAACGCCAGAUCUUGUUCUCACCUCAAGCAGGUGAUUCUCCCUGGUGACACAUUCCACAAACUGAAGGACACAAUCAGAAUACUUCUGUUCACUCCAUUCACAGCCAUCUGAUGCUUUCUUCACCGUCCAUGCCUCAUGAUAUUCUGUGGUAAUACAGAUAAUAUUGUGCAUGGACAGGCUUCACUCUUAACCCCUUCAAACAUUUUUGCUCUUGUGAGGGGAUGAUCAAGAAGAAAACUUAAAUCUAUACACCACCUUUCCAGCUUGUUUGUUUACUGAGAUGGUGGACUUUUCCCAAUAAUCUACUUCAAUUUCUCCCCCCAGAAUCACUCACAAUCUGAAUCUUGAGAGAAACAAGUUUUUGAGGAGCUGAGGUACCCACCUGAGUUCCUUUUAUGUGACAGGAGCAGCAGUAAAGAAGGAGGUUAGUUGAAACAUCAGAUAGCUGGACCUGAGGACCAUAGGCUAUUUCUUAUAGAAAUUCACUCCUUCCCCAGAAUCCAUAACAAUUCUUUGGAACAUAACGGGGCAGCUUGUAUUGCGAUACAGGUUGAAAGAGAAGAGAGAUCUCUUUAGAGCUCUUUUCUUCUUCAGAGAUGUUCAGAAUUCUGAUCUGGGCUGAAAGAGAAUCAUAAUGUCAUCCUCCUAUGUACAAGAAACUUUCAACAUCUGGGCUAGUUCUCAAGCCAAAGGAAUGGGGUUUAAACCAAUAGGUUCUCACCAGGAUCUUGGCCUUCUAGGAGACCCCAAAGAUAGACACAGCUGUACCCUACAGUCUCAAAAAUAGUCCUGUUGUUCCCAGAUACUGAGUAAAGAUAGUUUGGCAGGUCAAAUCUCACUGCCAUGCUCAAGUGAGAUUCUACUGUACCUCUUUUAUCAUUGUUUAGGUAGUGUCAACAGGAAAAUCAGGUGGUUGGGCAUUCCAUACACCUGUUUCAAGGAAUUGUCUAUCAAACCUCUCCAGAAUUCCUGUUGUUGAAGGUCUUUUGAAAGACUACCUGGUCAGCUAUUUGAACUCCCCUAGACUCUAGAGACUGAAACUUCUGGAUUUAUUCUAUUCACAUGGUGGAUAAUCUCCUGAAAUCCAAUCAAAACUGUACAACCAAGGUUUAACACUGUCUCUGUAUGCAGUCUUAUUUCCUCCUCUGAGUAUUAAUCUUAACACUGCCUUAAUUGGAGACUGACUUUAUUUUCUUUUUCUCUUCUUUUCACAAAAGCUAAGCUGCUUGCAGGUUCAAGUGGGAGCACCAGGAGCUCUGAGGAUAUAUGGAGAAACACUGGAUCCUCCUCUCUGUAUUUCUAAACUUCUAUGCAAUCUAGAUGAUCAGACUGGCCUUUUGCCUUCUUAUGUAGAUGUAAAUUUAAUCUGGUCUUGCUGACUUUGUACCAGUCUCCAUUUGAGCCCAUGAUGAUAUGCUCAUUGUUUGUUCUUACCACUGAAGUAACUUUUUCUUAUGAAUUUACCUCUUCAUGCAGAUUAAAUGAGUUUGGAGUGUUAACCAUUAAGGAGAACCUUUCCUACAGUUCUUCUGGACAAAAGUAGGAUUUUGAACAACUCUGCAAGUUUUGUCCCAAGUGAACUGAGCCUUUCACAUUAAUUAGGACGUUACCUUUUUGCCUAUUCUGUCCUACUGAAGUUUGCCUUUAUUAUGUGGAUGCUGAGACUUAUAAGUACUGUAACCUUCUACAGAUCGUGUGCUCUGUUUCAUAUUGCAAUAUUUUAAAAAAGGCCAUAGGCUGAUGUCUUUGCCCCAUUGAAUUUAAUAAAUGCCCCAUUGACUUCAGUAGGGGCAGGAUUUUUCACCAUGUCCAAAGCCCAUAUAGCAAAAUAGACUUACUGUCCUUUGCUCCAGUCUGCAAAUCAAUAGGAAAACUACUUCUGCUUUAGUAAGCACACAUUCAUCUAACCUGUAAGUCAGCGGCUGGCUCGUGGGAAGAAAGCCAUAGCCCUUUCAUGAGGAAAUUUGCGCUAGCUGCUUCCUUCAUUUACUAAUCGUUACAAAAUCUGUUCUUUCCUUGUUGGACACUCUCUUCAGUUGCUGGCUCCUACAGGUUGCUGUCCUUUCCUAAUUCUUCUCUUCUUUUCUAUUUGCUUGUGGUGCGAGGACUAGUGAAUUACAUAUACUGCGCAAACAGAUUUUAUUAAUGAAGUCAGACAGUGGAGAGUAAAACGGAUGCAAAAAAACGUAAAAUGUUAAAGUUGCAAAGUCAAGCAAGCACAAGUUAAGAUAUUCCAGAAUUAAGGGGGACCAUGCAGUAUGACAUAUGCUAUUGUUUCCUACAGGACCCCUGCCUCUUGCAGUGCACAGGAUGGACUGUGUGCAGUGAACGAAGCAGGGUUAUGUAGAGCAUUAGUCAGAAAACAACAGGAAAAGAAAGGAUAGUCCUUGUUGUUAAGGCAAUUGAAUAUCACCAAGAAGAACUAGGUUUUGUCCCUGGUUCUGCUAUAAAAUGUAAUAUUUGAUGCUGGGCAAGUCACUAUGUUUUACAUUAUGGGAAUUUGAAAAACGCAUUUAGGAAUUGAACCAAGUUUUUAAAAAGUGUGUAUUGGGUUAAUUUUUGUUCUGUUUUUCCCCCUCUUGGCUUUUAUUCAGAGUUUGAAAAUUGAAUAAAUGUAAGAAGAAAUCUAGGUCUAUUUUUAGAUUUUCACGCCUGACUUUCUAAGUGCUUGUCUGCAUGCACCUUUAAUUUGCGGCAAACUGGCGUGAAUCUGUCCCACGCUCCAGCACCUUAACUGUCCAGUUCAUUCGUGUGGUUUGAUCUACCCACUUUGAAAUGGGAGUAGAUUAAAGCACACUAUCUGUUCGUGCAUAUCAACAGGGUCCAUAAUGACAGUGUAUGACGGGCUAUUGCGGGGUAGAUUCACAUUCCAGCUUUCAGCGAACUAAAUGUUCGUGUAGACAUGCCCUAAGACUGGACACCAGUUUAGAAAGUAGAUCUUUUCACACUAUAAAAUUACCUCUGCCAAACAAAACUUUGUGGUGCUAUGGGCUAGUAGGGAGGGAGAGUUGCAUACAGCUACUUAAGGUUUUCAAAUUUUACUUCUCACUGUAUUGAAUUUUUGUGCUUAUAAUUAUCUGUCUAGGUAUUUAUAUAGCCCACAUCAUUGUAGUUACUUGAGCAGUAUUCAAGACUGUAGUCUGUGUUUUUCAGUUUAAGUAAAAACUUCAGACCCAUGCACAUCAGCUCUAAAAUAUACCCCUUGGAUAUUCUACUACUAUUUGAGCUAGUACUUUUGGCCUCAGAUUUGGUUGCAGUCUGUUUUGGACAAAUGGUUAGUGUGAUCUUCACUGAGGCAGUCUUUUGCCUCAAUCUUAUUUCAUUUGUGACUGGCAUCAGAAUUAAUCUCAUAUAUACACUAAAUAUUUUGUAUUGACUCAUUGUGCUACUUAGUUACUGUUUCUAUAUUAUUACUUGUGGAUUCUGAAACACUGUAAGCUUUGUUACAAUUAGCACUUUUAAUCAGUAAUAUUUAAUGUCAAAUUAUUUUU